ensembl:lncRNA LINC01365 long intergenic non-protein coding RNA 1365
AAUAAAGACACAGCUGUUAAAAGCACAGCAUUUAGAAAUAUGAAGGAAAACAUCAGAAGAAACAGGUUAAAGAAUUAGAUGUGGUCCUCACAGGGAAUAUUUGCCCCUGGCCGCAGAUACAAAGGAUGCAUUUCAAGCUCUCCCAAGAACUCUUGCAGUGCUCCAUCCCUGUGUCCUCAGAAAUGGCCCUGAGUCUCAGCAGCUCAAAAAGACUCCAGUUGGAUAGUGAGAAGCCACUGCUUCCUUGCAAGAACCUUCCCAAAUUUCUCUAACCAUGUGAAGACAUGCUUGAUUCCCCUCACCUUCACCAUGAUUUUUCUGGGAGAAUAACAAAAAGAAGGAAGAUUCAGUAGGAAAGGAAAGCAAUGAAGAAGCCAAGAAAGAGACAAGGAACCCCGGAAAGAGAGUCAGCAAAGAGAGAAAUAGAAACAUUAAUUUCAGGUGAAGAAACUGAAGACUUUAGCCAGAGCCAAGUGGCUAAUUCAGAGUUUAAUACACCUUUGACCUCAAACCCUUUGUGGUCACCUUUGAACAGUGCCUCCCUCUCUGAAAUAAAAUACUGGUUCUGUCAUUAAUUAUUAAUUAUUGA